rnacentral:rRNA from 1 species
AAUUAGAUACCCAGGUAGUCCACGCCGUAAACGAUGUCGACUUGGAGGUUGUUCCCUUGAGGAGUGGCUUCCGGAGCUAACGCGUUAAGUCGACCGCCUGGGGAGUACGGCCGCAAGGUUAAAACUCAAAUGAAUUGACGGGGGCCCGCACAAGCGGUGGAGCAUGUGGUUUAAUUCGAUGCAACGCGAAGAACCUUACCUACUCUUGACAUCCAGAGAACUUAGCAGAGAUGCUUUGGUGCCUUCGGGAACUCUGAGACAGGUGCUGCAUGGCUGUCGUCAGCUCGUGUUGUGAAAUGUUGGGUUAAGUCCCGCAACGAGCGCAACCCUUAUCCUUUGUUGCCAGCGGUCCGGCCGGGAACUCAAAGGAGACUGCCAGUGAUAAACUGGAGGAAGGUGGGGAUGACGUCAAGUCAUCAUGGCCCCUACGAGUAGGGCUACACACGUGCUACAAUGGCGCAUACAAAGAGAAGCGACCUCGCGAGAGCAAAGCGGACCUCAUAAAGUGCGUCGUAGUCCGGA